CAGACGGGGGACAACAGGGAGGAAGAGGGGGCAAGGGGCGAGAGCCUGAACCAGCCAAGGCGCGUGAAGGAUGACGGCCCUACGGGUUGUAAACUUCUUUUGUCAGGGAGCAAUUGGGUCCACGCGUGGGCUUAGCGAGAGUACAUGAAGAAAAAGCAUCGGCUAACUCCGUGCCAUCAGCCGCGGUAAUACGGAGGAUGCGAGCGUUAUCCGGCUUUAUUGGGUUUAAAGGGUGCGUAGGCGGAAUAUCAAGUCAGCGGUAAAAAUUCGGGGCUCAACCCCGUCGUGCCGUUGAAACUGAUGUUCUUGAGUGGGCGAGAGGUAUGCGGAAUGCGUGGUGUAGCGGUGAAAUGCAUAGAUAUCACGCAGAACUCCGAUUGCGAAGGCAGCAUACCGGCGCCCAACUGACGCUGAAGCACGAAAGCGUGGGUAUCGAACAGGAUUAGAUACCCCAGUAGUC
rnacentral:rRNA from 1 species